AACAAGGCCACUUCACCAUCCCUGCAGUGAUUCCUCAGUAAUUCACCACCAGAAGCACCAUCACCUUCCUUCUGUGUCCCUCCACAAAGCCAGUUGGGACUUCUAGAUAUUUUUGAAGGCAUAUUGAACUAGAUGGUGUUCUAGGGUACUAAUUUCAAGCUGUUGUUCUCCUAACCAUGCCACCAUAGCAGCAAUUUUAUUCUGAUGCAUAGAUUUGUAUAGAGAGGGUAAGAAAUUAUUCCAUGAAGUGAUCCCUUCUCAGAAUUUUAAAUAAGAAAUGGAAAAACUUUCUGUACUCUCAGAGUUUUCAUAAUUUCCCCUGGGGUAGGAGGGCAGGUGCAGAAGGGAACGGAACAAAGAUAAAGAAACAGCCACGUGGACGUGUGGUGGAAGAUCGUUUGAAGGAGGAGAAGAGCAAGUCAAAGGCCCUGAGGCAAGAGCACACUGGGCAUGUUCAAGGGCCUGCCCUGAACAAUCGUGUACAGGGAGUACAAGUCCCUCAUUCCUCUGCAGCAGCAGGAAAUGGGCUCUGUCCAGGCCACUGGACUCCACUGAUGUGCUGAAUAAGUGGAACUCGUCUUUUUGAAAUGAAUG
rnacentral:lncRNA from 1 species